rnacentral:rRNA from 1 species
UACGUAGGGUGCAAGCGUUGUCCGGAAUUAUUGGGCGUAAAGAGCUCGUAGGCGGUUUGUCGCGUCUGCUGUGAAAACUCGGGGCUUAACUCCGGGCCUGCAGUGGGUACGGGCAGACUAGAGUGCGGUAGGGGAGACUGGAAUUCCUGGUGUAGCGGUGAAAUGCGCAGAUAUCAGGAGGAACACCGGUGGCGAAGGCAGCACUCUGGGACGGUACUGACGCUGAGACGCGAAAGCGUGGGGAGCAAACAGG